rnacentral:misc_RNA from 1 species
GAUGAAGAACGCAGCGAAAUGCGAUAAGUAGUGUGAAUUGCAGAAUUCAGUGAAUCAUCGAAUCUUUGAACGCACAUUGCGCCCCUUGGUAUUCCAUGGGGCAUGCCUGUUCGAGCGGCAUUUGUACCUACAAGCUCUGCUUGGUGUUGGGUGUUUGUCUCGCCUCUGCGUGUAGACUCGCCUCAAAACAAUUGGCAGCCGGCGUAUUGAUUUCGGAGCGCAGUACAUCUCGCGCUUUGCACUCAUAACGACGACGUCCAAAAGUACAUUUUUACACUCUUGACCUCGGAUCAGGUAGGGAUACCCGCUGAACUUAAGCAUAUCAAUAAGCGGAGGA